UAGUUUCCUUCCUCAGCUUGUAAAAGUAUAAUAACCCCAUACUGAUCAACUCAUGUUAAAAUACUAUGUCAUAUUCAAGAAGUCCUUCAUCAGCCUGGAACAGGAAGACUGACAAACCAUGACAAGCCUCGAUCAAGAUCUGUGGUUGGCGCAGAGAUGUUCAUACAACAAGCGGACAGUUCACAUCUGAUGCUUUGGACAUGGAACUCACCAGGGGACACCAGGAUAUUCUGCAUCAGGACGGUCAACACUACAGACCGAAACCUGCACAGAGACAGAGAGAAGAAUGGACAGAGAGAACGUGAAACAGGAGGGAGAUGAAGAAAUAGUUAGAAAAUGUACAAAAAAACAAAAGCUUAGUGCUAAAGAAAGAUACGUUUAUUUAUACCAAACACAUGCAAAGGUACACUCAUGCAGGUAGGUAAAUUUAUCCUCUGCAUUUAACCCAUCUGGUGGAGGACACACAGAGCAGUGGGCAGCCAUGUACGGCGCCCGGGGAGCAGAUGUUGGGGGAGUAAGGUGCCUUGCUCAGGGGCACUAGACAGGGUAGGGAGAAUCCUCUUGGAUUUUUGGACAGAUCAAUCCAGAAUCGUCUUUUGUUGUCUCUCCGUGGAGUCUGACCAGAGACCUUUUCUGCCCAUUGUCCAAGUUUCUGCCACUAGUCCACUGCCUCUCCAUGGUCAAUGUCUAGGUAAAUGUAGGCCUCAGUAAUAUGAUUAUGAAUAAUAUUAAUCAUUUCUAAAUCCUACUAGUGCAGGUUAAUCAUGUGUGACGAGGUCGUUUUUUAUUGGUUUUACCUCAUUUGGGUGUGUUUCUUUAUAUCCUGAUUGUUUUUUUAACCAUAUUUUUAUACCUUUUGAAAUCACACAUGAUUCCUUGGCAUUACAACAGUCUCCGCUCAACGGUGUGAAGGAAUGUCGAGUGAUUUCUCAAUCGGAAGUGACAAACUUGGCAGUUGGAGGAUUGCACUUGAAUGUCACUGUGAGAACACUUUGUGCCAGAGACAAGGGAACAGUGACAGUGACAGAGUAGAGUGGAAGAACUGGUGGACCAACGCCUCAGCACAUAUAAUGACGCAUCACACAAGAUGUGGGUCAGCAGUUCUCAUCAAUGGCUUUUCAGCGCUCCAGUGGAAGCAGGUUUAUUGUCUGCUGAUUUUCAGGCUUGCUCAUCACGAAACAAUGGUUCCCAGUCAUGAGAAAUUGUCCCAACACAAGAUGCUAAACUAGACGUUCAUGUCACUAUCAAUUGCAUUAAAGUGGAUAUUUUUGUUGAUUUAUUUCCAAGACAAAGACACAAGACAUAUGACUACUUCUUCGAGUGGCUUAAGCUACUUAUUCCGACAAGUUCACACAGUGUUAAUCAAAUGUUUGAAUACAAUGUGAACGUUGUGAAGUCAUUUGAGGAUUUGUAUUGUUUCAAAUUUGCUGAACUACUACAAAAUCUUUUGUAAUUUUCAUGCUGUAACGAAAACGUGUUUUUUGUGUUAUAUGAAGAAAUUAGUUAUUUUCAUGUUAUUUUGACACACAACCUUAUGAUAUAACACAAUAUUUCACAUUACAACAACACUUUUUUCACUAUAACCCGAUGAAUUAUUCUCUAAUAUGAAACUCAUGUUUGAAAGAAGAAACAUGUGCUGAGAAAAGAAACUCAUAAAAAAGGCCUCGAUUACACAAUCUGAUUCCAACCCGUGCCCGGGUUGAGACGUGUUGGGGCGGAGGACGAUGCAGUAUCCAAAAAUAUAUCUUAACGUGAAAAACAUCUUCUUAUAACAAUAAACCUUUCCCCUACAUGAUACUGA